rnacentral:lncRNA from 1 species
CUUUUGCUGAACGUCAUUUGGAUGCCAACUGUCUGAUCGUUAGCAAAACGUAGAAAGAACCAAGAGUACAAAACAUUUGUUGGAUCGAGUGUAUAUAAAGAAGAAAAACACAGUCACAGAAACCGAUGAUGAUGAGUUAAAAUAUGAACAUGUUGAAAUUCAUAGACCACAAACCAGAAAUGGUCAAACACACAAUCGGAAUGUUUUGAAUCAUAUUAUGGGGAGUCAUUUUGGCAAUCCGGGAAGAGUGUUGAAAUAAAACUGUAUUCGUAAUUAGAAAACGACAGUUCCCUAAACAAUGUUACCAGAAUGCGUUUUAAUGGAAUGGACGUGACAAACGUACGUCUACACCGAUACAAAAUAUGAAAUGCCAAGAUUUUUUACGGAAGUUUCUCACAAAUAACAAUAUGUGUGAUCAGGCGUGAGUUCGUGUUUGCCGAAGUGAAAGACGAAUAUGAAAACAGUCGAUGAUCUCGUCAGAUAACGCUUACCACGUACUUUUCAAAUAAUAUCAUUGUUGAUCUGAUCUUGUUCAGACAAAUCGAAAUGUUGAAACACGUACAGUUUUAAGCAACGUUAGUACAAUGCGAUUAAUCGUGCUGAUUUUAGGUUCGCUACAACAAUAAUUAGAAAAUAUGACUACACGUAGGCAUUAUCUGACGAUGUCAUCAGCCGAACAGCAAGUCGUCACAACGAUGUUGGGUGAUGUUGGACAGGCUUGGACGUGCCUUUACACAUAGUAUAUACACAUGUAUAUACCAGGACGAAAUAAUACUGUUACGGGGAUGGCUAACAACCAACAGAAAAACAGAGACAUUUUGGUGGGAAAAAAGAUCGCUUACAAGGGCUAAAUAGCUGAAUAAAUUAACUAACGGAUGCCUGACGCAUAUGGAUGGAUGUGGAUACGACUGGGGAUAUAAGUUGAUAACGUCUGAUAAACAUCGUUUCGUAAUUUUCCUUCGAUUUCUCAAAUUGCGCAGCAGUCAAAUACAGUUUGUAACCAUUUAACGCAAGGUAAGUUCUAUAUGUUUUCUUAUAGAUAGCACCAGCAAAGUUUUUCAAUGUGGACGUAUAGAUGUUUUUCGCAUGUUUACUUAUACUGAAAAUAUGUUUAAGUCCUCAAUGCGAAUGAAAAGAGUCCUCUAAUAUCCGUAAAGCUCUGAUAGAACGAGGAGAACAACAUAUAAACCAUUUUACAUUACACAACCUUUGCCUAAAACUGUCGCAUGCGAUCCUCUUACAACUCGAAUUGUACUGUGUAAAUCACACAUACAACUCGCUUACGUUGUUGUAGGCGAGUUAUGUGCUUGAUUUACACAGUACAACUCAAGUUGUAAGCGGUUUGCCUGCGACAGUUUUAGGCAAACGUUGUGUGUGGUGUAAAUCGGCCUUAUGAAAGUACCAGCUUUUAAGCUGAGGACACGCGAACGAGAGUGGCAACUCUCAUCAACUUUCGGCCUUGCUUGGCCGAGGUUUAAUAUACAUAGAAAUGAGCAUAGGUAAAGCCAAAGUAUCGUGAAUUCUAACUAGGAUGUUUGUAUCAUGCAAAAUAGAUUUGCAAUAAUAUCCAAACUUAUAUAAUCAUAUAACUGUAUUUUUUAACUCAGAUGGUUAGCUAAUAUAUAUUAUACAUUAACAUUAUAAUUCACGACUUUAUAUUGCAGUUUUUAUGUAUAAGACAUAAAAUUAUGUGGUACUCAAAGGCAUGUAGGUACUAAACUUCCCGCCAAAGCACAUUUCAAUUUAAUUCUAUUUUGUGUUCACAAUUCAAUCUAAAUGUUACGUAUAAAGGUAAUUUCUCAUUCAACAGAUAUAUUUAAGACCAUAUAUUAUUCUAUAUUUAUCCAUGUUUAGAAAAUAUUAAGCACCAUUGUAUAAAUUUAUUUUCUGAAAAACAUUCCUUUACCUCAGCUGAACAGAUUAUUAAUAAAUGACAGUAUACUGUGAAAAGUUUAAAAUAAAGAAUAUAAGGUUGCCAUUUCCUAUGGCUGUAGUGAAAAUGUAACACAUUAAAUAAUUUAACAAUUGACCUGUUUUUUGCAUUAGUUGAUUAAAGACAAAAUUUAAAGUCUGAUACUUAUUUCACCACAACAAGCUAUAAUAAAAUUGAAGGAUAUAAUAAAAUUAUACAGAUGCAGAAUACAAUAAAAAUUAACAUCUAUAUGUAAAGGCUCCUAUUGCUUCACUAAAAGAUAAGUGCAUUUUAUUCCAUUCCACAGGUUUGAAGAUUUGGUAUUGCCUAGUUAUAUUAUCAAUUGCAAAGGCACAUUGCACUAAACCUUCCCAAAGCUAUUUAUUAAUACAUGGAGUUAAGAUCAGAAGAUUCUGUGAUAAUAAUUGGGUAACUGCAUGAUACCCCAAAUUCCCUAUUCAAGGUGCUGUUUGCUUUUUAAAAUUGAAACCCAACUCUACCAAAAAGUACAUUUAUAACUUAUCCAACUUGUCUAAGUUUUUGUUCCAUUCAGCCCAAAGAGGUCCAGGUUAAAUCAGCCAAAGGUCCUGAUUAGAACUCUGCCAGUUUGAUGUACAGAUUUCAAAUGACUCAUUAUGCUUUUUUUCUUCAGCAGAUCACACAGAAUAUUGUGAAAAAUCAACAAAAUCAGUCACAAGAUGGCUGGUUAUGAAGGCA